rnacentral:rRNA from 1 species
UACGAAGGGGGCUAGCGUUGCUCGGAUUGACUGGGCGUAAAGGGCGCGUAGGCGGUUCGUACAGUCAGACGUGAAAUUCCUGGGCUCAACCUGGGGGCUGCGUUUGAUACGUGCGGACUUGAGUGCGGAAGAGGGUCGUGGAAUUCCCAGUGUAGAGGUGAAAUUCGUAGAUAUUGGGAAGAACACCGGUGGCGAAGGCGGCGACCUGGUCCGAUACUGACGCUGAGGCGCGAAAGUGUGGGGAGCGAACAGG